CCUACGUGAGGCAGCAGUGAGGAAUAUUGGUCAAUGGGCGCGAGCCUGAACCAGCCAAGUAGCGUGAAGGACGACUGCCCUACGGGUUGUAAACUUCUUUUAUAGAGGAAUAAAGUGAGGCACGUGUGCCUUUUUGUAUGUACUUUAUGAAUAAGGAUCGGCUCACUCCGUGCCAGCAGCCGCGGUAAUACGGAGGAUCCGAGCGUUAUCCGGCUUUAUGGGGUUUAAAGGGAGCGUAGGUGGGUUGUUAAGUCAGUUGUGAAAGUUUGCGGCUCAACCGUAAAACUGCAAUUGAUACUGGCAGCCUUGAGUACAGUUGAGGUAGGCGGAAUUCGUGGUGUAGCGGUGAAAUGCUUAGAUAUCACGAAGAACUCCGAUUGCGAAGGCAGCCUACUAAACUGCCACUGACAUUGAUGCUCGAAAGUGUGGGUAUCAAACAGGAUUAGAUACCCCUGUAGUC
rnacentral:rRNA from 1 species